rnacentral:snRNA from 15 species
GAGAGUUAUCUUUCAAGUUUCUCUAGCAGGGUCUCGCAUCCGAAGUCGGACGCGAGUGCCCAA